UCGAUCAAACGCAAAAGAAUUUUUUUUGAUUUGCAAACAAAUCUUGCUCACAAAAUGGCGCAGUAGUUGGUUAAAAACAAUUCAAUGUGCUGAUAUUAUAAAAAAAUGUUAUUUCAAUCAAUUUGCGCAUUCGGCAGAAGCUGGAGGAUGGAAAAGUGGCAACGCGCGUUUAUCACUGCACUCAAUCCAGAUGAAACUAAACUCAAAACAACCAUGAUUCAAGAUGUACUUAAAGAAGAUUUCGUUUGCGAAUCUGAAACAUAUUAUUGAUAAACAAGUGGAUACAUUAGCAUCAACACUUGGACUUUUUAUCAUGUUAUGAUGAGUAUUUUGGAUUCCAUUCGAUUGAUUGAAGUACAAUUUUAUCAAAGAGAAUGAACAGUUCAUUCCCUUGCAAAGAGGAUUUCUAUUGGGAUUGGGAUACCUACAUAUGCCGCAGGGUUUGGAUCUUUGGAUGACGAUCAUUUUUCCUUGUCUUAGAGAAGAUUUACCGUCUAACGAUUUAACAGCGCUACGAAUUUUAUAUUCACAUGGAAAGAUUUAGUUGAACUAUUAAAGAUAGUUUGAAAACAAUGGCAAAGAUGAGGAUACAGCAUUGAGGCAAAUAAUUAUAUUAUUAUUAUUCUUUGGUAGACUUUUCUUAGAGGUUUUGAGAUCUAAUUAACUAAUUGAUUGACAUAUGAUUGAUGAUUGGUUGAUGUAUUUUGAUUUAUUUGAAAAAUGUUCAAUAUGAUUUAUAUUUCUGUUUUUAUACUUCGGAACUGUUCGUCAAGUGAGAGACUGUUUAAAUAGAAUUUUACGUUCACUCUUUAUAAUAUUAUAUUAUAUAUCAUUGAGAAUAUUAGUUGUAUUGAACAGUCAAAGAUUUCUAUGGCAAACAGACAGAAGAAUUUUAAGAGGAUAACUUGAAAAUAAGCAACUCUUCGCUAUACUAUAGCUAUAGUAUGUUAUGAGCAGAGUCUUUUUCUUUUGGCUUAUGGAUUUUAUUUUCUGAAUUAAUUAAUUACAAGAAUUUGAAUCAGAAUAACAAUCUACAUCAAUCUUAGUAAAAGUUUUUCUCAUAAGAAAGAUCUACAUAGAAGAAUAUAUAAAAGUAAAUGCAUUUCUCUAUCAGCAGAAUUGUCAAUCAAAUCGCAAACUAGAAUAACAAUCUAGUUCAUAUACUUAAAGCGUUGUCAAGCUAUUAUUAGAUUAUUUUCGACAGUUAAAGAUGAAUGUGACAUGAAUGAAUUAAAAGCAGGGAAAUAAUCGAUCUACUACAAAAAUUGAUUAAUCGCAAAUAUAACAAAAUGAAAUGAAAUUAUAAUAAAAACCUGAGAUUAACAAUCUUGUUUCCUUAAAUAUGCAUCAUUUGAAAUUCAAUAUCAUUUUGUAUUCUGUCCAAAUUUUUAAACAAAUAUCUAUGAAACUCUACUCUCUACUCGAUUAAAAACUUCUAUACCAAGUUGUUUUAAUAUAAGAACAUUUUUAAUCGAAACUGAGAAAACUUGAUUGAGGUAAGAAAACUUACAAGGUUAUUAUAAAUUGAUGGUUUUCUUGUUUGAUGUUGUGAAUUUUUGUUUAGUAAAUCAAAGAAAAACUCAACAAUUACAAUAAUAACGCAUGCUAAAUAAUAUUUUGAAUCACCAAAUGAAUGAAUAUAGUAAGUGCGUUAGGUUCUGUCAAAAUUAAAUUAGAAUUUCGUUUAGGUUUUUUAAUUUCAAAAUGCUGUUCGAUUUUUGUAUUUUAUUUUACGUGUAUAGUUAGAUAGCAAAUCUAAUGCCCUUAGUUUUAAUACUCUUCUAUAAAUUUGAAUAUAGUAUAGUGCAUAAACAUAUAAAUAGAAGAGUAGAGAGAGAGAGAGAGAGAAACACGGAGAUAGAGAGAGAAAGUGAGGGAAUUGGCAAUAAAAGAAUAUCUUUGUUUUGAGAGAAAUGUUGCCACUUCUGUAAAAUAUAAAAUAAAAAAGCGAAUAUUUUAAAUUUAUAUUUAUAACAGAAGCUGUCAUCUUAAUGCUGAUACAUGGCGUAUACGUAAUCCGCCUAUAUUGUUCUUGUAUUUAUUGUUUUUUAUUUAUUUAACAUGGAAGUACACUGUAUUUAUAGGGAGAGAAAUUAAUGACAAUAUAAGAAAUAUAUAGAGCACACUUUGUGAGAUCUGCUUUUUGAAGACUCAAAGCUUUGAACCCUCUUAGCAACAUGAAAAUAAAUCCAAUCAUUUCUAUGUUGUGACUAUCAAAAACUGAUAGACCAAGGCAGACUGACCUUUUUAGCCUCUUGUGUCGGCUGCUUAUAUACAUAAAUGCCUAAAUUUGAUUGGUGUAGUUUCAAAACAAUUUCCGAUUGGUAGAAUAGUACAAAAAGACUUCUCUUAAGUAUAUAGAGAAUCGUAGAGCAUGUAGAGAAUCGUUCAAAUUCGACUAGUUUAAAUUUCAAGCUACAUAAGUUUAGGCGUUUUUGAUACGUAUUUAGUAUAGCACUUAGCUUCAGAAUGAGCAGAAUUGCGAUAUAUUCAGUCUUGAUUCUGGUUGUUCAAGGAAUAUCCUUUGGAGGAGCAGCAAUCAAUCCAGAGGUGCAAAUAAAUAUAUAUUAUACAGUGUGUGUUAAAACUAAAAUAAUUUCCCAUUCAUCAGAAAUGUCAACUUGCAGAACCAAAUCAACAUAACUAUAACGUUGUGAAGUCCCUGUUAAAAUAUGUGCGACAUAUUAAAAGUGAACUUGAAACAAAUGAUUUGCAGAAUAGAAAUAACGAAAUUGUUAUUAAAGUGUUGAGAGAUCAGAUAGAUGAUCUUAAAAAAAAUAUUGAAUUUCAAAAAGAAACUAUUCUCAAACUAACUGAAAUUUCAAAAAUGACAGAUAGUUGUAAUAAUUUAAUUUUGAAAUUGACCAAUAGGAAUGACGAGAAUUUCAAAGAACUUAAUAGAACUUUUGUUGAAAAAAGUGACAGUUUAGUUAAGUUGGAAAAUAACUUCAAUGAGUUUAAUGCAAAAUAUGUUGAAAUUAAUAUUGGGCUAUUCAAAUGUGAAAAUAAAUUCAGCGAGCUUAACAAAGCACUUAUAGAAACGAAUGAGAGUCUAGUAAAGUGUGAAUGUAACUUCAAUGAGCUUAACGAAACAUUUGUUGAGCAGAAUAAUGAGUUGUUAAAGCAAAGAAAAGACUUACAAAUGUGCAAAACAGAUAACGAAAUGUUAAAGACAAAUGAGAAAAGGAUUUCAGAUAGUUACACUUCGAAUAUUCGUUCAAUAAAUAUACCUGACUAUGGUUCAUUCGAUGUGUUGUUCGAUAAUAAGACAACUGAAAAAGACUGGAUAGUAAUCCAACAGAGAGUAGAUGGAAAAGAAAAUUUUUAUCGCGAUUGGAAUACGUACGUAGCAGGUUUUGGAUCAUUUGAGGGAGAUUUCUUUCUAGGCUUAGAGAAGAUUCAUCAACUAACGUACUCGGCACGCUAUCAACUCCGGAUUCGCAUGGAAGACUUCAAUGGAACAAUACUAUACGCUGACUACGAUAAUUUUAAAGUUGACAGCAAUGAAACGCACUACACAUUGAGCAGUUUGGGUCAAUAUUCUGGCUAAAAACACGGUAAAUACUGGGCCGACGACAACUUACGAGCGAGCGAAGGUAUGAAAUUCGCAACGUUUGAUAAUAUGAUGGGGAACCGGUGUCCAAUGAUCCGUCAUGGAGGAUGGUGGGGUUGCUCAGUCUGCAAUUUAACUGGAGAAUACUCAGCGAUAGACAGCAAGCUAUUUAAGUACAUGUCUUGGGCUUUCUAUGUGCAUCUUAAGAGGGCUCAAAUGAUGAUACGAAAAUAUCAACCAUCAUAUAUUACAAAAUAAUUCUGUCGAUUAUAAUUGAAUCAGCUGUCUAACGCACUUUCCGUUUGUAUCACAAAAAAGGUCAGCAUGUUGACACUGGGCGUAUACGUGAUAUGCUGAUUAUGAGCAUUCAACCGAUGACGUUUGCUUGGCAGAUUACUUCAUUGUCUACACUACAAUCAAUAAAAUUAUAAUCGAGAGUAAGAGUAAGAAUAAAAAUCUUCUGAGGUA